UGGGGAAUUUUGGACAAUGGGGGGCAACCCUGAUCCAGCAAUGCCGCGUGUGUGAAGAAGGCCUUCGGGUUGUAAAGCACUUUUGUCCGGAAAGAAAAACGUCGUGGUUAAUACCCGUGGCGGCUGACGGUACCGGAAGAAUAAGCACCGGCUAACUACGUGCCAGCAGCCGCGGUAAUACGUAGGGUGCAAGCGUUAAUCGGAAUUACUGGGCGUAAAGCGUGCGCAGGCGGUCCGCUAAGACAGAUGUGAAAUCCCCGGGCUUAACCUGGGAACUGCAUUUGUGACUGGCGGGCUAGAGUAUGGCAGAGGGGGGUAGAAUUCCACGUGUAGCAGUGAAAUGCGUAGAGAUGUGGAGGAAUACCGAUGGCGAAGGCAGCCCCCCUGGGGCCAAUACUGACGCUCAUGCACGAAAGGCGUGGGGGGAGCAAACAGGAUUCAGAUACCCUGGUAGUCCACGCCCUAAACGAUGUCAACUAGUUGUCGGGUCUUCAUUGACUUGGUAACGUAGCUAACGCGUGAAGUUGACCGCCUGGGGAGUACGGUCGCAAGAUUAAAAACUNAAAGGAAUUGACGGGGGUUCAUAGCUGUUUCC
rnacentral:rRNA from 1 species